GCCUUUUAUAAAUGUGUCCAGAAGAUUACCUGCUCAUGCAAUCUAGCCUCCAACCUCAUUAUCUCAAUUAUAAAAACCUCGACGAAGGUGGUAAGUCAACUCAAAGUUCCAGUCACGUCGUCACGAUGAGGAUUCUAAACAACCAACCUCCUUAGCAACUUCACAGGUUGCUGAAGACUCUUUUUCAUGGCAUAACCAGCAAUCCAAGAUUGCCUCGAACUCAUCCGAAUAACCACUCCACCUCCUACUUAUACUUCGAUGUUAACGAAUCCCAAUUGCCCUUGUUAAAUCUGAUCUAUAUCAAUUUAAUCUAUCGGAUCAUGAUCUGAACAAAUAAGCAUAUAGUCACUUGUUCACCAAAAAUACUUGAGUAUAUGCUUUACCUGUGACGACCCAGAAUUCUGAUUAUAGGGGAUGGUUUUUGGAUAUCCCUAAAUAAGCCCGUCCCAGUGAUACUGAAAUCACGCGAAGAUAACCAAAGAGUUUUUAUAACUUAAGUUUGAAAAUCUAUUUGAACUGUGGAAUCAAACUUCAAACUUGUUUUUAACAAUCAGGAAACCUUUUUGAUCUAGCUUCCUUAAAAAAAGGAUAUGGA
rnacentral:lncRNA from 1 species